GGGGGCGUAGCGCAGUUGGGAGCGUGUCUGAAUGGCAUUCAGAAGGUCGAGGGUUCGAUCCCCUUCGUCUCCACCA
rnacentral:tRNA from 1 species